rnacentral:rRNA from 1 species
AGAGUUUGAUCAUGGCUCAGAUUGAACGCUGGCGGAAUGCUUUACACAUGCAAGGCGAACGGCAGCACGGACUUCGGUCUGGUGGCGAGUGGCGAACGGGUGAGUAAUAUAUCGGAACGUGCCCAGUCGUGGGGGAUAACGUAGUGAAAAUUACGCUAAUACCGCAUACGAUCUAUGGAUGAAAGCGGGGGAUCGCAAGACCUCGCGCGAUUGGAGCGGCCGAUAUCAGAUUAGGUAGUUGGUGAGGUAAAGGCUCACCAAGCCGACGAUCUGUAGCUGGUCUGAGAGGACGACCAGCCACACUGGAACUGAGACACGGUCCAGACUCCUACGGGAGGCAGCAGUGGGGAAUUUUGGACAAUGGACGCAAGUCUGAUCCAGCCAUUCCGCGUGCAGGACGAAGGCCUUCGGGUUGUAAACUGCUUUUGUACAGAACGAAAAGGUCUCUAUUAAUACUAGGGGCUCAUGACGGUACUGUAAGAAUAAGCACCGGCUAACUACGUGCCAGCAGCCGCGGUAAUACGUAGGGUGCAAGCGUUAAUCGGAAUUACUGGGCGUAAAGCGUGCGCAGGCGGUUAUAUAAGACAGAUGUGAAAUCCCCGGGCUCAACCUGGGAACUGCAUUUGUGACUGUAUAGCUGGAGUGCGGCAGAGGGGGAUGGAAUUCCGCGUGUAGCAGUGAAAUGCGUAGAUAUGCGGAGGAACACCGAUGGCAAAGGCAAUCCCCUGGGCCUGCACUGACGCUCAUGCACGAAAGCGUGGGGAGCAAACAGGAUUAGAUACCCUGGUAGUCCACGCCCUAAACGAUGUCAACUGGUUGUUGGGUCUUCACUGACUCAGUAACGAAGCUAACGCG